CCUACGGGGGGCGGCAGCUAAGAAUAUUCCGCAAUGGACGAAAGUCUGACGGAGCGACGCCGCGUGGAUGAUGAUGGCCGAAAGGUUGUAAAGUCCUUUUGUCGACGAAGAAUAAGUGUGGGAGGGAAUGCCCGCAUGAUGACGUUAGUCGACGAAUAAGCCCCGGCUAAUUACGUGCCAGCAGCCCCGGUCA
rnacentral:rRNA from 1 species